rnacentral:lncRNA from 1 species
GACGAUAUGGAUUACUUGGUUUAAAUGGAUGUGGGAAAUCAACACUCCUAGCUGCAAUAGGGUGUCGAGAGCUUCCAAUUCCAGAGCACAUGGACAUAUAUCACCUCACCAGGGAGAUCGAAGCUUCUGACAUGUCUUCACUUGAGGCUGUGAUAAGCUGUGAUGAGGAGAGGUUGGAGUUGGAGAAAGAAGCAGAGGCCUUGGCUGCACAGGUAUUUCCUUGCGACUAAAAAUAAUUUUGGUGUAUUUCAGAACUUGUGAAUGAUGUAUGUUAUUGUGACUUCCAUGUGUGAUUGAUCAUUUAUUUUGGCUUGGCUUGGAUAUAGGAUGAUGGAGGUGGAGAAGCUCUUGAUCGUGUUUAUGAGCGUUUGGAGGCCAUGGAUGUGGCAACUGCAGAGAAACGUGCUGCUGAAAUUUUGUUUGGUCUUGGAUUUAACAAGCAAAUGCAAACAAAGAAAACUCGAGAUUUUUCUGGUGGCUGGAGAAUGAGGAUUGCAUUAGCUCGGGCUUUGUUCAUGAACCCAACUGUCCUCUUACUUGAUGAGCCAACCAAUCAUCUUGGUAAGCUCCCCUAGCACAGAUGUUUGCUCAUUACAUUUUCCAACUCUCUGGUGUGGUAUUUUGGCUACUUUUCCUUUUUUGGAGAAAAGAAAAACUCUCUAGGGAUUUGUGAGUUUGUAAGUACACGCCAAUAUUUUUCUUCUGCGUAUUAAACUGGACUAGGAUUUUUUGGAUUAAAAAUCUGUUCUUGCCUUGAAUGUUUGCAAGUACAUUUAGGAGACCACAACACCCUACUUGAUGGAAAAGAAAGCAAAACUCAAGAUAAGAAAACAAUGCCAUGUCCUGUCCUAUUGAGCAUGAGAUGUGAAUCCUUUAUCCAUGACACUAUAUCAUGAGAAGUCAAAAAACUAUCAAAUAUUAAAAAGAAAAAAAGCUCCAUAAUGCAAGUUGUUCUGGGAAGAUUCUUAAGUUUUCUGUCUGAACUCUCCAAAGAAGUGUGAAUUUUGCAUGCACAUCCUUAUAAGCCCUUUGAUUUUCCUCAUUCAAAAAUCUACAAAAAAAUCAGUGACAGGUCCACAUAUAACUUGAAAUCACGACCUGUUACAGCCUGUUUAGAAUUUUGGUUACGGUAAUGAUUUCAAUUCAAUUCUAUUGGAUUUAUUAGUUGAGUUGGGAUCUAUCGAAGAACUUAAGGCGUAUAAUGACUGACAUAUUCUCAAUCAUAGACUGUUUGUCUUUCUUUUUACUAGUUUCCAACUCUUCUCUGUACAUUCUAACUUACAAUUCUAUAUGAAAUCAAUUUUUUAUGUUUGGAAGUGUGGAUUUUCUAAGAAAUUCAGCUCUACACGUGAUUCCCACCCAAUUGAAAUUCAACCCUGAAGGGUCUGAUUUCAUGUGGAUUACUGUUGGAUGGUCACACACCAUGCAGCAGAAAUAUAUUCAUAAAAAAGGGUUCUGUUUUGCAAGUAUUUUUAAUCCCAUUUGUGGUCAUCAGUAAAGGGGAAAAAAGAAAUUUGAACACCAAGCUAUUGGACAACUAUUUACUUCUAUCAGCAUCUGCACUUUUAACUCAUUUCUAUAGAAGAUUUGAAUUCAACUCUUCACUUGAAUUUUUCAAAACAGACAAUUAGUUCCAAGCCUGUGACAUUUGUUUCAGUGAAAACAUGGAGGACGCCAAACUCACGUGAUUUAUUUUCCAUGACUAAAAGCAAGGAAAUUCAUUUAUUUUCAGAUAAUGCAAAACUUUUUGGAAUUCUCCUGUUGAUGAUUGUUAGCAUGGGGACUUUGUUUUUCAGCUUGUGUGGCAGACAGUAUACCGAACUGAGUUCUUAUUGUGUUGGGUGAAAUGUUGAAAGUUAUGACCAUCUAACAAUUUUAUGUUGUUAUUUUCUUUUCAUGCUUUUUUCCUUGUUUGUUGGCACAUAAGUGUGUUUGACUCUUUAAAGUUCAGUUCUCAUGUAUUGGGAGAAGAACGGCCUGGGAGGGUGAAAUCAGCAAAAGUUUUUUUGUUAAUGAUCAAUUCUUUUAUGUUGUGACAGACCUCGAAGCCUGUGUCUGGUUGGAGGAAACUUUAAAGAACUUUGAACGCAUUCUAGUUGUGGUUUCUCACUCUCAGGAUUUCUUGAAUGGUGUCUGCACAAACAUUAUCCACAUGCAAAGCAAGAAAUUGAAAAUCUACACUGGUAACUAUGAUCAGUAUGUUCAGACUCGUUCUGAACUGGAAGAAAACCAGAUGAAACAGUACAAAUGGGAGCAGGAUCAGAUUUCUUCCAUGAAGGAGUAUAUUGCCCGAUUUGGGCAUGGGUCAGCAAAGUUAGCUCGUCAGGCGCAGAGCAAGGAGAAAACUCUUGCUAAGAUGGAACGCGGUGGACUUACAGAAAGGGUUGCGAGAGACCAGGUUCUGGUCUUUCGCUUUGUUGAUGUGGGGAAGCUCCCACCACCCGUGCUUCAGUUUGUUGAAGUAACCUUUGGCUACACACCUGAUAACCUCAUUUAUAAGAAUCUUGACUUUGGUGUGGAUCUGGACUCUAGGGUUGCGCUGGUUGGCCCCAACGGAGCUGGAAAGAGUACCUUGCUGAAGCUUAUGACGGGUGACUUGGUUCCUUUAGAUGGCAUGGUUCGCCGGCACAAUCACUUGAGGAUUGCGCAAUUUCAUCAACACUUGACUGAGAAACUAGACUUAGAAUUGUCUGCUCUCCUUUUUAUGAUUAGAGAGUAUCCAGGGAAUGAGGAAGAAAAAAUGAGGGCAGCGAUUGGGAAGUUUGGGUUGACAGGCAAGGCCCAGGUGAUGCCCAUGAGUAAUUUGUCAGAUGGGCAGAGGAGCAGGGUGAUUUUUGCUUGGCUGGCAUUUAGGCAACCCCAAAUGCUCCUUCUGGAUGAGCCAACCAACCAUUUGGAUAUUGAGACCAUCGACUCCCUGGCAGAGGCAUUGAAAGAGUGGGAUGGGGGUCUGGUUCUUGUUAGCCAUGAUUUCAGGCUCAUAAACCAGGUAGCGCAGGAGAUAUGGGUAUGUGAGAAUCAAGCUGUUACCCGUUGGGAGGGCGACAUUAUGGAAUUCAAGGCGCACCUCAAGAAGAAGGCAGGGUUGUUGGAUUGAGUUGAGAUAGAUCACAGGGAUGAAUUCGGAUAAUGGUUGGGUAUGACAAGGCCGAGUGGGUGAUUUUGGUUUCCCCAGGAUGAAGAAAGCAGCA